UACGUAGGUGGCAAGCGUUGUCCGGAUUUACUGGGCGUAAAGGGUGUGUAGGCGGACUUUUAAGUAGAAAGUGAAAGGUUGGAGCUCAACUCCAACACUGCUUCCUAUACUGGAAUUCUUGAGUCCCGGAGAGGAAGAUGGAACGACACGUGUAGCGGUGAAAUGCGUUGAUAUGUGUCGGAACACCAAUGGCGAAGGCAGUCUUCUGGACGGGUACUGACGCUGAGACACGAAAGCCAAGGGAGCGAACAGG
rnacentral:rRNA from 1 species